CAGUCGCCGCGGGAAAACGUAGGUGGCAAGCGUUGUCCGGAAUUAUUGGGCGUAAAGGGCUCGCAGGCGGUUUCUUAAGUCUGAUGUGAAAGCCCCCGGCUCAACCGGGGAGGGUCAUUGGAAACUGGGAAACUUGAGUGCAGAAGAGGAGAGUGGAAUUCCACGUGUAGUGGUGAAAUGCGUAGAGAUGUGGAGGAACACCAGUGGCGAAGGCGACUCUCUGGUCCGUAACUGACGCUGAGGAGCGAAAGCGUGGGGAGCGAACAGGAUUAGAUACCCGAGUAGUCCCUGUCUCUUAUAC
rnacentral:rRNA from 1 species